AGCUGGCAGAUUUUCGUUUCUGGCUUUCCUUUAGGUAGGCUGAAGGAAGAAGGCCUUUCAUUGCUACCUUUUGGCAGCCCUGUCGUUAUUUGGCUCCUUACGUGCGCAGGGAAAUCGUGUGAAGGCAAGGUUCCCAACCCAGAUCCAACGCAGGGAUCCUUCGUCCCGAGCCGGGAGUCUGCCAACGCGCGGAGGAAGACCAUCCAAGUCGAGGCUUGCCCCUGCUCGUUCACCCGCCGUCCCUCCCCUCAGCCGGAUGCCGGGAACAAGAGAAAGGGAGCGAUUGGGAGAUUCCGUUUUAAUACAUUGACUUCAGCCUAGCAUCGCCCCGUGUUGGUGCAGGAGACCCCGUCUGAACCCUAGGAAUUAAUCGGAACGCCUCCUCCCGU